UACGUAGGGUGCGAGCGUUUAAUCGGAAUUACUGGGCGUAAAGCGUGCGCAGGCGGUUUUGUAAGACUGUCGUGAAAAUCCCCCGGGCUUAACCUGGGAAUGGCGAUGGUGACUGCAAGGCUAGAGUUUGGCAGAGGUGAGUGGAAUUCCCAGUGUAGCGGUGAAAUGCGUAGAUAUUGGGAGGAACACCAGUGGCGAAGGCGGCUCACUGGACCGGAACUGACGCUGAGGCGCGAAAGCGUGGGGGAGCAAACAGG
rnacentral:rRNA from 1 species